GCAGAAUACCCCAAAGGGUUUCAAAUGAACUGCAUCCUGACUCCCUCUACACACAGGCACAGGGGUCUGCCAUUAUGCUUUUUGCAGAAACCACAUUUCUAAUUUGCUGUUUAAAAAAAGGCGCAGUACAUCAACUGGUUUAUAACAGAGCAAACACUGUUUGUUAAAUCCUAUGCAGGUAAACAGCUCAUUUCCUUCCUGCUCUAUUGUUAAACCUCGUAACUCAAAAUCCGGUCACCUUAUUUCACAUUUUUUGGAGGUCGGAGUGCAUCUUCGUCAGAUGUCCAGCAAGCUUUCGUGUCAGGGGUGCCACAAAAUGAAAGCACUCUGUCCCUUUGGAUAGUAAAGUUCAAAGGGAAAAUCACCCUAGAACACUGCUAUAAAUUCAUUCUUAUAUUUUGAUUCUAUUACCAUA
ensembl:lncRNA